GAUCAUGGCUCAGGAUGAACGCUAGCUACAGGCUUAACACAUGCAAGUCGAGGGGCGAGCAUGGUCUUAGCUUGCUAAGGCCGAUGGCGACCGGCGCACGGGUGAGUAACACGUAUCCAACCUGCCGUCUACUCUUGGACAGCCUUCUGAAGGAAGAUUAAUACAAGAUGGCAUCAUGAGUCCGCAUGUUCACAUGGUUAAAGGUAUUCCGGUAGACGAUGGGGA
rnacentral:rRNA from 1 species